UGGGGAAUAUUGCACAAUGGGGGAAACCCUGAUGCAGCAACGCCGCGUGAGGGAAGAAGGUUUUCGGAUCGUAAACCUCUAUCGAUGGGGAAAAAGAUGAUGGUACCCAAGUAAGAAGCCCCGGCUAACUACGUGCCAGCAGCCGCGGUAAUACGUAGGGGGCAAGCGUUAUCCGGAAUUACUGGGUGUAAAGGGUGAGUAGGCGGUUUGGUAAGUCACAUGUGAAAAGCAACGGCUCAACCGAUGCACUGCAUGAGAAACUGUCAGACUAGAGUUAAGAAGAGGUAAGCGGAAUUCCUAGUGUAGCGGUGAAAUGCGUAGAUAUUAGGAAGAACACCGGUGGCGAAGGCGGCUUACUGGGCUUUAACUGACGCUGAGACACGAAAGCGUGGGGAGCAAACA
rnacentral:rRNA from 1 species